ACCCGAUACGUUAUUACAACUUGCUGAAAAACUCCAGGAUAUGAGCGAGAUUUCUUCCAUUAAGAAGUUCUGUUCUGUUAAUCUGUUUUAUUUUCUGGAGCAGUCUGUUCCACCAUGAUCUAUUUCUCUCGUUAAAAAUGCCAUUCAGUUUAAAUUUUGAAAGAUAAAUUGCUAUAAUAAGAGCCAUUAAUCAUGAAAUCGCCUUCAUCUUUGGUCAUUUUCCCGAAGCAAGUAUAAAAACUCAUAUAUAUCUCUAACUUAUAAUUGCCAUUCAAUUUUUUAAAGGUAAACUAUGAAAUGCUAAUAAGACCCGUUAAUCAUAACAGAAAAAUUGUCUUCGUCUUUGGCGAUAUAUUUUUCCGGAUCUUGCAACGAAACGGAAUUCUCGUCUCCAAUCUUGCUAUCAUUCCCAAUAACUUUGUCUUCUUCCGAAAUUUUAACAACAUUCUUUUGGUUACCAGAGCAGCGUUCUUCCUUCGACCCUUCAUCCAAUUUCUUUCCAAGUCCCUCGGACAUUUUCGCUUUUACAACGCCACGGAAAAACGUACACUUUCCCAAAAAAAUCUCAAGAAAAAUCUCCGCGCCGGCUUCCCCUAUAUUAAACUUGUA